GCCCUAGGAACUCAGUUCUGGU
rnacentral:miRNA from 1 species